GACGAACGCUGGCGGCGCGCCUAACACAUGCAAGUCGAACGAGCGAGAGGAGGUUUACUUUCCCAAGCGAGUGGCGAACGGGUGAGUAACGCGUGAGGAACCUGCCUCAAAGAGGGGGACAACAGUUGGAAACGACUGCUAACACCGCAUAAGCCCACGACCCGGCAUCGGGUAGAGGGAAAAGGAGCAAUCCGCUUUGAGAUGGCCUCGCGUCCGAUUAGCUAGUUGGUGAGGUAAUGGCCCACCAAGGCGACGAUCGGUAGCCGGACUGAGAGGUUGAACGGCCACAUUGGGACUGAGACACGGCCCAGACUCCUACGGGAGGCAGCAGUGGGGAAUAUUGCACAAUGGGGGAAACCCUGAUGCAGCGACGCCGCGUGGAGGAAGAAGGUCUUCGGAUUGUAAACUCCUGUUGUUGAGGAAGAUAAUGACGGUACUCAACAAGGAAGUGACGGCUAACUACGUG
rnacentral:rRNA from 1 species